AAAAGUGCUGUUUGUGCAGGUAGCUGACUCACCCGCCCUACUGCAAAACCAGCACUUCCCGA
ensembl:miRNA